CGAAUAAUAAGGUUUAUCACGUAUAAGAUAAACCAAUUUAAUGAAAGAGAUUUGAUUAAUAUAUUUAUUUUCCUUAAAUGACAUAUUUUAUCAUUCGGAUCCGGAUCUCGCUUCCGGCUUAUAAACAUCACGUGACUUCAGCCUCACAGUUGAACUAGCCGCUCUGGAUAAGUGAAAGUUUCAAAACCCACCCACCUCCCCUCACACUCUACCAACAAUUACUUGUGUCUGCUGCUGUUUUAUUCAUUUUUCAGGCUGUUCAGAGAGAAGCCUGAUACUUAAUACGUUGUUGGACAAAAUAAAGAUGACUAGACUAAGCCGAUGGAAUUGCUUGCUGAACAAACUUUUGAGAACUAUCGUAUUCUAAAUAUUCGAGUGAGUGUUAUACAGUUUUACCAGGACAAUCAGCCACCAGCAAUGUGAUUGGAACAAUCAGUAUGUUUAAGUUUAUCCACCUGGAACACAUAUAGAACUUUAAAUUUUUGUUAUGAACUUUCAGAGUUUAUAUCU
rnacentral:lncRNA from 1 species